rnacentral:rRNA from 1 species
AGAAUCAACGCUGGCGGCGUGCCUAACACAUGCAAGUCGCACGAGAAAGUGGAGCAAUCCACGAGUACAGUGGCGCACGGGUGAGUAACACGUGAAUGAUCUACCUCCGAGUGGGGAAUAACUGAGAGAAAUCUUAGCUAAUACCGCAUAAUACCCACGGGUCAAAGCAGCAAUGCGCUUGGAGAGGAGUUCGCGGCCGAUUAGCUAGUUGGCGGGGUAAUGGCCCACCAAGACUAUGAUCGGUA